CGGAAUCAAUUGUUUCUCUGUUUACAUCGAAUCAAAGCAAAUUUCAGUGAAUUAUAAGUUAGAAUUGAGCGGAGAAACCAGAGAAGUGAGUUGCUGCCAUCGUUUGCGGAUGAUCAAAGGAGUCGAAUGAAUAGAUUAUACACAAAUUAACAGGUUGUGUAAAAGAUCAGAUCUUUUUCGUUAUUAAUUAUCGCUUCUGAUUUCUGAAUUCUUUCUGCAACCCGAUAGAGAAACCUCUAUCGGAUUCUCCUCUUUUCUCUUCAACCUUGCCUCAAUUUAGUGAGAAAAUUGUGCGAUUUAGUACUGUCGAUUGUUGAUGAAAGAUUGUAUCUACCCAAUGUAAUUGUUGUUGUUGUUGAGGUAAAGAUUGGUCAAACCCUUGCUAUAAGAUUUGUCGUUUAUUCUUGAUUAGUAAAGACGAAUUCUAGGUAUGUGUUGAUGUUGGUGGUGAUAUUACAGAAGCAAGUAAAGGGGGUAAUUUGAACAAUAGGUUGAAACCUUUCUUCAUCAUCUUCAUGCUUCAGGUACUGGGAAAAGCUCAGAAGUCAAGCUGAAGAAACAAAAAAGAGAGCUGAUCUCCUGUAGUCUUUGCCAAUGAGCUAGCAGGCAUAUGUUGAUUGCGAUGUUCUUCUGGAAUAUUGCAUGCGCUCUACUCAUUCUCCUUUUCUCUGUACAAAUUCAAAAAUUGGUUGCAAGAUUUGCUGAUUUUAUUCAUUGAACAUACCAUAAGCGUUAACUAACGUAGCUUGAAGCAAGAGUUAAGGGGUCAGGAUGGUAGAGAAUUGGGUCAUUCAACUGGGUCGAAUGAAUGCAUACCCAAGACAGAAUCUAUCACAAUGACUGCAAUUAAAAGUGUAGGAAGACCGAAAUAACAUAUAACAAAUCUCAUAACUGCUGCCAAGACCUACGUGAUACUGGAAACACAAAGAGCGACUAAUGAAUAAAAGAAAGAUGAAAGGCAGGUAAAAUUGGUUUGUAAAAAGUACACGAUGGGGUCAAGUUCUUGAAGUGAUUUUCAGUUGUAAAAAGUGUUGCUGCAACUGUUCGUGUUGAUAGCAGCAAAAUGUUGUUUAAAAGGGACCAAGUGCAGUUUGAAAGACAAGCCAGAAGACUGGAUUUUAGUCAAGUUUUUAUGUAAUCAGUCAGGCAAAGGAACUGGUGCUUUUUCAUGGUUCAAUGGUUGCGUUUGGCAGUUAAGAAGCACGCACAACUGGUGGUACGAAUAAAUUCAAGGAAGAGUGUGCUUUUGGUGAAAGAUGGUUUGGACAUGUAUAUACGGGUUAUCUUGACAGUACUGAUCAGAAUAAUUUCUUUUUUCUCGCAUGGUGACGGCUUAGGGUACAAACAAUGGUUUCUGUAAGGUACUGGAAUUUCUUUAUGUCGGCAUUGAACUAUACUCUGUUCACAUGAUUAUAUGAAACAUAUCUAGCCUGGCUUUGUGAGUGAUGUGCAUCAUUAUCGAUAUUCAAGUGUAGACUGAUGUUAACUGGAUUUCUUUAUGCUAUGGGGAGUUAUGUUGAAGUUGAUUUGGAGAAUGGGGAUCAUGAAACUAUGUAAUUUUGGAUAUGAAAAAUCAAAUGGAAGGUGUGAUUGGUAAUGCAUUAGAGUUUCCUUCAUAUCAAAUGGAAGGUUUGACGUUUCUCAUGCCAACAGAAUGAUGAGUCUCUGGGCUUCCUAAUGGAAUGUUUGUGCGCCAGGUUUGGAUUUCUGGUUACCUUUAUAUCAUUCCUAAACUUCUUAGGGAGUAAGUCAUGUAUACCAGUGCAAGAUGAUUGACAUGGACCACGCCUUGCUGGAUGAUUCUCUUUGAAUUCUCUUUAAAGUACUACGUAUCGCAAAACGUUAAGUUGAUGCUCGACUCUUUCAAAACUCUAGCACUGGAGGUUGAUCAUGAAGGUGUGACCCCUAUGAUGGAUAUUCUGAUUGUUUAUUUUGUUCAGUAUUUUGUACUGUAUUCAUCAUAUAUUCAUCCUAUUCUCUUUAACCUUCAAUGUGCAAUUCGGUUUAAUAUUAUAUAAACUGCUGACAAGGAGAUAAUAGAUUGGUAAGAUUUUUAAAUAUAAGUUGUUAUUCUUUUUGUUA